AUGUGGGAUUUCUAAGACAACUAGGAUGUUGGCUUAGAAGCAGCCACUCAUUUAAAGAGUGCGUAAUAGCUCACUAGUCGAGAGAUCCUGCGCCGAAGAUGUAACGGGGCUCAAACUUACCACCGAAGCUAUGGAUGUGUACUAUGUACACGUGGUAGAGGAGCUUUCUGUACAGGUUGAAGUCAUACCGUAAGGAGUGGUGGACAGUACAGAAGUGAGAAUGCUGGCAUAAGUAGCGAAAAACAAGUGAGAAUCUUGUUGCCCGAAUAUCUAAGGUUUCCUGGGGAAGGCUCGUCCUCCCAGGGUUAGUCGGGCCCUAAGCCGAGGCCGAAAGGCGUAGGUGAUGGACAACUGGUUGAUAUUCCAGUACCACCAUAAUGCGUUUGACAAAUGGGAUGACGCAGGAGGAUAGGAUGUGCGCACUAUUGGAUGUGCGUCUAAGCACUUAGGGUGUUAAGUAGGCAAAUCCGCUUAACAUUAAGCCUGAGGUGUGAUGGGGAGCCUAUUUUGGCGAAGUAUCUGAUUCCACGCUGCCAAGAAAAGUCUCUAUGGAGCAAAAUGGUGCCCGUACCGCAAACCGACACAGGUAGAUGAGGAGAGAAUCCUAAGGUCGUCGGAAGAAUUAUUGCUAAGGAACUCGGCAAAUUGACCCCGUAACUUAGGGAGAAGGGGUGCCUACGAGAGUAGGCCGCAGUGAAUAGGCUCAAGCAACUGUUUAUCAAAAACACAGG
rnacentral:rRNA from 1 species